ACCACUUCUUGUUGAAAGAUACUUAAAGGGCAUGCAGUACUGAAGUAUUGUUCAUUCACAAAUCAACCUUUUCUUUCAGAUGGCCAAGGUCCACCCUCAAAGACCUGCUCCUCCUUCUCCACCUUCUGAUUCUUACAUCACUUCAAGGAGGGAGACUUUUACUCUGUGGAUGAAAUCACUUGUCAUACGAGGAAAUGGAUACACUGUCUUCAAUUCUGAUGGCGAGAUUGUUUAUCGGAUGGAUAAUUAUGACAAGAAGUGCAGCAGUGAAGUUUAUCUCAUGGAUCUUCAGGGCAAAGUUCUCUUCACCAUACUUCGAAGGGUGAGUGAUAUUGUAGUUUGAAUGAUCAUGUCUUAAGAUUGAUUUAUGAAUUUUCAGGACUUCAACUCAUUUGGGUUUUCUUCAUUUUAAUUAAUCUGUGCAGAAGCUACGCGUUUUUGGAAGAUGGGAGGGGUAUAAAUGCAGUGGUUCAAAGGUGGGCAGUCAGAAGCCAUGUUUUCAAGUCAGAAAACAUUGCAGAAUUCUGGGAGGAGGUUCAUCAUGUGAAGUUACAGUGAGGCCUAAUGAAGCUCAAUCAUAUCAUUACAGAAUACAGGGCUUGGCCGGUAAAUCAACAUUCAAGAUUGUAAACAGUGAAGGAGGAGUCAUGGCAGAGGUAAAGCAAAAGCAAACAUCUUCAGGAGUAGUGCUGGGAGAUGAUGUAUUGGACUUGGUGGUGGAGCCCCAUGUUGAUCAUUCCCUUGUCAUGGCUCUUGUGGCAGUAUGCGGACUGAUCCACCAUAGAAUGUGAAAUAAACUUCUCCCCAUGAAGAUAGUAAAGCUGACUUGAAGAUAAAAGAGGCCAGGGUUUUCCAAAGUUUCAUCAACUUCAUCAUACCAGUGAUGAAAGAAAGACCAACACCAUUUUGAAAUGACCCAAUGAAAAUCUGGCAUAUACAGGGACGAUGGAGUCUGAGGGCUUUGAAGAGGCUCAGGGUUCAUGUCAUGAAUGUGAUGAAAAAGAUUUGAAGAACACUCAAGGAAAUGGGAAAUUUGAUGGAAUAGUCUGCUAUACAUGUUUCAGAUAAAAUCCCAAUUCUUUCAUGAUGUAAAAGGGCCAUCAGUGUCAUCACAUUCAAAUAAUCAAAUGACCUUUUUCACUUUUUCCUUCCACUUGAAAUUUAAAAUAGAAAAGCCCAAAAAGCUAACUCAAAGUUCCAUCUUCCCAUCACAUUACACUCCCUGUCAACCCUCCAAAUUAAUAAUAUUUCUUAACCUUUCUCCCCAUUAACUAUACUUUUUUAAUACUCCUCGGUUUCAACCUCUCUCAUGAAGAUUCGAUCUUAUUUAUUGGAAACCAUAAUCUAUCGUGUGCAUGGCUUCAACGUGAUCCAAUGUCCCAUAUUUUUAUUUACGAGUUUUCUUCUACACUUUAUUUUAGAAAUUAUAAUCACGAUGAUUACAUCCAUGACUAAUCACUUUUAGUUAGGUAAGCUUUCAUGUCAAGAACAUAUUUCAAAGUUGAUGCUCCGUACUCCAUUUGAACUUAAACAAGAUCAAAUUACUCUAAUACUAAGUAAGAACGAAUGAAUUUAACGAUCUUAUUGUUCCUUCUUUUUUCUUUUUCCUUGUAAACAACGGGAGAAGGUCUGAAGUAUGAAAAGUUUAAUUGUUAAUCGAUUAACAAUAAUCUUAAAGAUAGAUUAAAUUAAAGUAUAAGUUUUCCUUCCUUCCUAUUACAUCAAGAUAUUUUUAAGUUAUGACAUGAGGCAACUACCGAUUGAAUGGUUAAAAGAUGAAGAAUGAGAAAAAAAUUAAUAGUCUCAAAUUAACAAUAAUCUUAAAGAUAGAUUAAAUUAAAGUAAGUUUUUUUUCCUUCCUACUACAUCAAGAUAUUUUUAAAUUGUGACAUGAGGCCACUACCGAUCGAAUGAUUAAAAGAUGAAGAAUGAGAAAAAAUUAAUUGUCUCAAAUUUUAAAACAACUUCAUUGACCAUCACAUGAAUGUGUUUGCAUUCAUUUUAGGGUUUUUAUUUUAUUUUUAUUUUUUAUUGGGUGUAAUAAUCUUUCUUCUCAAGCGUAGAGGAUUACUCAAAUGAUAUAUAGUUUUCACAUGCAACAAAGCUAUAGAAUAUGAUGUCAAACCCCAUGGCCUUUGGUCCCUCUCUCAACCACCUAACUUAAAUAUUACGUACAGAUAUGAAUGAACUGAUGAGGGUUGAAUCUAAGAGAUGUGGUUGGUUGCUAAGAGGGCCAACCCAAUAUUUAUAUCCCACAUGACAUCAACAACCUCCAAAACAAUGAUAUUAAAAAAGGGACCGACAUUUUCCUAAUCUAUUUCAUUAAUAUUACAUAUUAUGCCUGCACAUAUCAAGUCUAAAAAAUUUGAAGUACCAUCAACGUAAGCAUGCUUUCUUAAACAACAAAUGCAUUCGGCCUCUUCCGUAUACGCACGCCAUAAACGUGACAAACUCUACCAGAAAUGGUAGAAGAAUACCCUCAAGUCUUACCCCAUCAUCAAUCCUAAACCUGGUGCAUUGCCAUGGCAUUUGCUCACCAAGGGAAAUGAUGAUCAAUAACUUGAGGUGUUGGGAUUUUUGUUAGAACUAGGCUUAGGGUUGAUGACUUAGAAUGAAUUUAUUUAUAACUUUAGAAUUUGAAAUCUUUGGGGUAACUUCAAUUAAUUUUGGAUUGGAAAUUUGUAACUAUUAAAUUAUUUUUAUGAUUUGAUCAUUGAAUCAGUAACAACUUGCUACAAUAUGGAUUUAGUUAGAGGUAAUGAGGUACAAUAUAAAUUUGGUUAAUUAAGUUCGAUUUUGAGUUAAGGUUUAGAAUUCGACAUAUGAAAUGAUUGUAGUGCCCUUCUCUUUGAAUUUGGGGUCUCAAAACAUUUAGACUGCAUUUGAUUUUUGAAAAAUUUAAGGGAAAGAAAAUAAAAAGGAAAAGUAAAAGAAAAAAACAACGAAGUAAAAUUAAAAGUAUAUUUAAAGUUAAUAAAUUAUUUUAUAUGAUAUUUCAAAUUUAUUUCAUUUAUUUUAAUUCAUCAAUGUAACAAUUAAAUAAUUUAAAAAUACAUAAAUUUAUUAUUAGUUUUAAUUAUAUUUGAUUUUUUUAAAUAUUUUUUUAUAAGAAAAUAUUUUUUUUUUUUGAUAUUUUUUUUUCCUUAGUCAUUUUCAGAAACUAAACAUAAUCUUAAUUAAUGGCAUUGGAGCUCUCUUCACUCACAAGUCAAUUAUUUCCUUCAUAUGGCCAAGGUCCACCCUCAAACACUUGCUCCUCUAGAAAUAAGAUUUGAUAUGAACAACCCAAAAAGAGUAAGGUGGUGUUUGUUUUUUUACUUAAUUUUAAAUAGAACCUUAAAACUUAUUAGUGUUAAAUAUUAAGUUGUUUGUUUUUAUACUAUUUUAUUUCUAUUAAGUAUUUAAAAGUAAAGAAAAACCAAUAUAUUAUUUUUUUAUUUAGAAAAAGCUACAUAUUUUGAUUUUUUCUAUACAGUAAAAAGUUUAUAAUAAGUUAUGAAAAAAAUAGAAAAACAAACAAUCUAAAUUUUGAAAACAAAUUAUUUUCAGUAAAAAAGAAAAAAAAAAAAAAACAAACAAACACCACCUAAGACCUUUUUCGGAUAACCCAAUUCAUUUGGAACCCCGUUAUCCACUAUGUUUCCUAUUUAAAAAUCAAUCCUUUGUCUUUAUGUUUUCACAUUGAGAAUCUUUAUAGAUGAAGAGAUGUAAACGGGCUUCUUAUUUGCCAAACAGAUCCUCAUACAUCUAUAUAUAAACGUUGAUUUAUCAAGAAUAAUGAAGAAAAGAAGAGUUUUGUUGUGGGUUAAUGUACAGGUAAAGCAAAAGCAGACAUCUCCAAGGGUGGAUUUUGGGGAUGAUGUACUAAGCUUGGUGGUGAAGCACCAUGUAGAUCAUUCCCUCAUUAUGGCUCUUGUGGCCAUGUGUGGACUGGCCCACCGGAUUACCCUGUGUCCUACAUUAAAUUUCUUUGAGUGAUCAAUUUUAGUGUAACAAUAAAUUCUAAUUUUUUGAAUUGAUUUUAAUUGCAAAGAAAUUUAAUAAGAAAAUAAUUAUAUUUGUUAAAAUCAUCAUAGUAAAUCCUCAUAUAAAAAAAAAUUGCUAACAAAUGAGUGUCCAACAAUAUUACAUUAAAAAAAUUUAAUGAUAUUUUUUUAUACAACCAAAUAAUGAUUUUAGUACUUUUAAACGAUUAGGUUGAGGAAACUUGAUUUUUUUAAAAAAAAUUAAUACAAAUGUAAUAAUAUUUCUCCAAAUCAUCUUAAUGAAUUUUUAUUUGAAAAAAAGGAAAAAGAAAAAAUGUAUUUACAUGCAUGUAUAUAAUAAUAAUAAUAAAAUAAGAACUUUUUAAAAAUAAUUUAAGUUUUAUAUACUUACGGGUCAAAGAUAAUACUUAUAAUUAAAUGUAGUAUUUAUAUUAUUAAAAAGUAAUAUCUAAAUAAUAAAAAAUAUUAUUUUGUUUGAACUUAUGAAUUAAAAUAUUUACAAUAAUACCGGGUGGACUAAUUCUUGACAUGAUUGAAAUGUAAUUUGUAUGCACCAAUAAUUCCUAGAAAACUCAUCAAGGCAAUACCCCAUCCUAAUCAUCACAUGAAAUAAUGGAAUAAUUUGACUAAAACCAUACCUUUUUCACUUUUUCCUUCAAAUUGAAAUUAAAAAAUCAUAGACAUUAGAAAAGUUAGAAAACCAACUCAAAGUUCCAUAUUCCUUCACAUCAAAUUCUUGUCAAACCUCCGAAUUAGUGAUGCUUUUUCUCCAUGUUAACUAACUUUUUCAAUGCUCUUAGGCUAUAUAUUAAAAGAUUAAUGUUAUGUUAUACUAGGGAGAAAAAAAUAAUUUAAAAAAAAAGAAAUUUUUUAUAUACAAGAGUAUCAAACAUAAUUAUUAGAAAUUGAUUUAUGUUCAAAUUGUUUAAUAUAAAAGAAUUGAAAUAUUUGAAAUGGGUUUUAAGUAGGGUAUAAAAAUAAUAUAUUUAUUUUAUUUUUUUUUCAUUUUUUGGGAAAAAAAAUGCUGUCCAAAUUUGAAAAUGAAAACAAAAAAAUAGUUUUUUGGAGCAUGUUUGGUAACAGUUUAUAAAAACAAAGUUCCUUCCCAAAUUUGAGAACAUGUUUUAUAAUUUGUUGAUAAUAAAAGGCAAUUAUUUCAUAAUUUGAUACAAAAAUAUGGUGUUUUUUUAAAACAUGUUUUAAUUGUUUUUAAAAUAAAACACUAUAAAUAAAAGUUACUUUUAAAAAAAUAUUUUAAAAUAUAAAAAUUUGACUGAGAAUAUUUUGAAGUUCCAUGGACAACCAUCUUCUAAAAAUAUUUUCAAAAAUAUUUUUUUUAAAGAAUUGUUUCCAAAUAAAAAAUAAAAAUCUUCUCUCAAAUCAAUUGGGCUUUCUUUUUUGCCCUCGUUUUUCCCGCAAAAGAAUUAUGACAGCUAGGUAGUGAAGCUUAUCCAUGACUAGGCAAAGUUCUAAACGUGGAGAAUUCAAGGUUGGAAAAGGGUGUGUGAACAACCCAACAUUAAAGGGAGUUUUCUUGCUUAGAACUUAGUUGUCUCAUAUUCUAGAACUACUCCAUUGUCUCUACAAUGGGUGUUGAUUUUAAUUGUUGGGACUAAUGACAUUUUUAAGCUUAAACAAUUAUUUAAACCAACAAUUCACUUAUUAAUUCGUAUGAAAUUAGCUUUCUAGUAAUAAUUAUUAAACAUCGUUCCACCCUUGAGCCGAUUAACCUUGAAUCAACAUCGUGAUUAAUUAGUAAUAGUAGUCCUUUUUUGUUAUCUUCCAACCCUCUAAUUGAAUUGAAUAUGUGGACGGUUCGAUAAAGGUUAGACUCGGGUUGAAUUUAGAGAUGUAAUUUGUUAAUAAGAGGACAAACCCGAUACAAAAUUAGAAAGCUAAUCAUAGUUUAUGCCCCCACAUUACAUCAACACCCUCCAAAACAAUACUAAAGAAGACACCCUCAGUUUCCUAAUCUAUUUCUUUAAUAUACCUUUACACAUGAAGUUUAAAAAAGGAAAGAAGGAAAAGGAAAUUGAAAGGCCCAUCCAUGUGAACGAAUGCAUUCUCCCCUUCUGUACAGGCACGUCAUAAACGUGGCAAAGUCAACCAGCAAUAGUAAAAGAAUACCCUCAAGUCUUCCCCCAAUAUCAAUUUAGGGUUUCUUUGUAUUUUUCUGCUCCACAAAAAUCACAUUUUAUUCUCAUUACUUUAACAUAUUAAAGGUCAGAUGGCCAAGGUCCACCCUCAAAUGCCUGCUGCUGUUCCUCCUCCUCCUCCUCCACCUUCUGAUUCUUGUAUCACUUCAAGGAGGGAGACUUUUACUCUAUGGAUGAAAUCACUUGUCAUACAAGGAAAUGGAUACACUGUCUUCAAUUCUGAU
rnacentral:lncRNA from 1 species